NNCCCUCCCUCCAUCCCUCCCUCCAUCCCUCCUUCCAUCCCUCCUAUCCCUCCCUCCAUCCCUACUUCCAUCCCUUUGUCCCUCCUUCCAUUCCUCCAUCCCUCUCUCUAUUCCCCUAUCCCUCCAUCCUUCCCUCCUUUCCUCCCUCCAUCCCUGUUCCCCUCUUCCUCCACCUAUUCAUCUGCCCAUCCCUGUCUCCAUCCGUCCACCUGUCCAUCCUUCCAUCUCUCCAUCUGUCCAUCCCUCCACUCAUCCAUCUAUCCAUCCAUCUGCCCACCCACCGCCUACCCACCCACCCAUCCAUUUCUCCUUCCACCUAUCCGUCCAUCUGUCCACCACCUACCCAUCCAUCCAUGUGUCCAUCCAUUUGUCCAUCCAUCCAUCCAUCCCUCCCUCUACCUAACCAUCCCUCCACCUACCCAUCUGUCUGUCCAUCCAUCCAUCCCUCCAUCCAUCCACCUCUAUCCAUUCCUCCAGCUACCAUCCAUCCCUCUACCUGACCGUUCUUCUACCUGUCCAUCCAUCUGUCCAUCCACCCUUCCACCUAACCAUCCAGCCUUCUCUCCACUUUUCUAUCCAUCCAUCCACCUAUCCAUCCAUCUCUCCAUCCACCAUCCAUCCUUCUACCUAUCCAUCCAUCUGUCCAUCCAUCUAUCCAUCCAUGCCUGCAUCCACUCAUCUGACUUCUACCUAUCCACCCAUCCAUCCCUCCACCUACCCAUCUGUCCCUCCAUCCACCCAUCCAUCCCUCUACUUAUCCAUCUCUCCAUCCAUCCCUUCCUCCAUCCAUCCCUCCAUCCCACCACAUAUCCCUCUGCUUAUCCAUCCAUCCCUCUACCCCUCCAUCCGUCUACCCCUCCAUCAAUCCGUCCUUCUAUCUGUCCGUCCAUCCAUCCCUUACCCCCUUCACCUAUUGCUACCUCCAUCCCUCCUGCCAUCCCUCCGUCUGUCCGUCUGUCCUCCAUCUGUCUGUUCAUCCUCUCUCCACCUCUCCAUCCCUCUGUCCCUCCGUCUGUUCAUCCUCUCGCCAGCUGUCCAUCCACCCGUUCACCUGUCCUUUAUCCAUCUAUUCAUCCAUCCCUCCUUUCCUCCAUCCUUCUAUCCAUCUGUCCUAUCCAUUUGUCCUUUCCUCCACCGUUGUCUGCUUGUUCGUCCAUCCUGUUCUCCAUCUGCCCAUCCUUUCUACCAUCCCUUUACCCAUCUGCCUGUGCAUUCAUCCAUCCUUUCAUCCAUCCAUCUGUCCAUCCCUUUAUCCGUCCGUGCAUUCAUCCUUCUUUGAUCCAGCUGUUUGUCCGUCCACGCGUCCGUGCUUUUGUCCAUCUCUCCAUCCAUCCUUGUGUCCAUCCUUUCCUCCAUCCUUCUGUCUACUUGUCGCUUCACCCAUCUUUCCAGCCACCUGUCCAUCCUUUCAUCCUUUCAUCCAUCCGUCUGUGCUUCCCGCUGUCCGUGUGUCCGUCCUUUCAUCCCUCCAUUCAUCCAUCCGUCUGUCCAGCCUUUAUCAGCGCGUCUGUCCUUCCGUCUGUCUGUGUCCGUCCUUUCAUCCCUCCGUUCAUCCGUCUGUUCAUCCCUCCGCUCAUCCAUCGCUUCUUUCCCCCCUUUGGCCAUUUAUUGCCCCCUCCAUCCGUCCCUCCUUCCCGCUCCCCGGCGCGGGGCGCCUGGGGGGGGCUCCGGGACCCCCGGGGGGACCCCGACACCC
rnacentral:lncRNA from 1 species